AGAGUUUGAUCCUGGCUCAGAUUGAACGCUGGCGGCAGGCCUAACACAUGCAAGUCGAGCGGAUGAAGGGAGCUUGCUCCUGGAUUCAGCGGCGGACGGGUGAGUAAUGCCUAGGAAUCUGCCUGGUAGUGGGGGAUAACGUCCGGAAACGGGCGCUAAUACCGCAUACGUCCUGAGGGAGAAAGUGGGGGAUCUUCGGACCUCACGCUAUCAGAUGAGCCUAGGUCGGAUUAGCUAGUUGGUGGGGUAAAGGCCUACCAAGGCGACGAUCCGUAACUGGUCUGAGAGGAUGAUCAGUCACACUGGAACUGAGACACGGUCCAGACUCCUACGGGAGGCAGCAGUGGGGAAUAUUGGACAAUGGGCGAAAGCCUGAUCCAGCCAUGCCGCGUGUGUGAAGAAGGUCUUCGGAUUGUAAAGCACUUUAAGUUGGGAGGAAGGGCAGUAAGUUAAUACCUUGCUGUUUUGACGUUACCAACAGAAUAAGCACCGGCUAACUUCGUGCCAGCAGCCGCGGUAAUACGAAGGGUGCAAGCGUUAAUCGGAAUUACUGGGCGUAAAGCGCGCGUAGGUGGUUCAGCAAGUUGGAUGUGAAAUCCCCGGGCUCAACCUGGGAACUGCAUCCAAAACUACUGAGCUAGAGUACGGUAGAGGGUGGUGGAAUUUCCUGUGUAGCGGUGAAAUGCGUAGAUAUAGGAAGGAACACCAGUGGCGAAGGCGACCACCUGGACUGAUACUGACACUGAUGUGCGAAAGCGUGGGGAGCAAACAGGAUUAGAU
rnacentral:rRNA from 1 species